UAGGAUGCCAAUUCCGCUGCGAAU
rnacentral:siRNA from 1 species